rnacentral:lncRNA from 1 species
GAGUAGCUGGGAGUACAGAUGCACACCACCACACCCAGCCUAGAAUGAAGAAACCUGCAGUUGGGAAGCAUGAAUUUACCACCUAUUAAGGAACUGGUGAAGAUUUCCCCAGCAAAAAGUAGAAGCUCAGUGUUUCAUAGAUGAAGACUGGGGAGAUUGCAAAAGACCCAUCCAGCAGUGGUUCUCAGACCUCAGUGUGCAUCAGAAUCACCUGGAAGGCUUGUGAAAACACGUAUUGCUGGGCCACACCCCCAGAAUUUCUGGAUCAGUAAAGCUGGGAUUCUUACUUUGAGUAGCCAACUUGCAGAAUACAAUAGAAUUUUGGGAGGAGCCCCUCGAUGCCUGGCUUUACUGUUGGAGAGACAGUACAGUAUACACCAGAUGACUUAUUUGUGAACCAUGGAAACGUUUGGAAAAGAGUCUCACUUUGUCGCCCAGGCUGGAGUACAGUGGUGCGAUCUUGGCUCUCUGCAACCUCUGCCUCCCAGGUUCAAGUAAUUCUCCUGCCUCAGCCUCCCGAGUAGCUGGUACUACAGGCACACAUUUGUAGAGAUGGUGUUUCCCCAUGUCAUCCAGGCUGGUCUGGAACUCCUGGGAUCAAGUAAUCCACCCGCCUCGGCCUCCCAAAGUGCUGGGAUUACAGACGUGAGCCACCACGCCCUGCCAAUAAAAAGAUUAUCUCCAGAUGCUGGAAUGACCAGUAAUUUAUUUUCUUCCUUUUUUUUUGUCUGCACUUUCUACCAUAAUCAUAUGUUAGCUUCUUACUAAGAAGAAAAGUCAAUGUUAUUUCCCUGAAAAAGUAAUGUUGUUUGGUUAUUAAACAAAUUUAAUUUUCUAAACAAGAGUACGACAGGUAAACUGCCUACCUUAAAAGCAAACGAACACAAAUAAAUAAACUAACCAUCUU